UAUGUCCUACGGGGCGCAGCAGUGAGGAAUAUUGGUCAAUGGACGAGAGUCUGAACCAGCCUAGUAGCGUGAAGGAUGACUGCCCUAUGGGUUGUAAACUUCUUUUAUAUGGGAAUAAAACGUUCCACGUGUGGGAUUUUGUAUGUACCAUAUGAAUAAGGAUCGGCUAACUCCGUGCCAGCAGCCGCGGUAAUACGGAGGAUCCGAGCGUUAUCCGGAUUUAUUGGGUUUAAAGGUAGCGAAGGUGGCUUUUUAAGUCAGUUGUGAAAGUUUGCGGCUCAAUCGUAAAAUUGCAGUUGAAACUG
rnacentral:rRNA from 1 species